rnacentral:rRNA from 1 species
UACGUAGGGUGCAAGCGUUGUCCGGAAUUAUUGGGCGUAAAGAGCUCGUAGGCGGUCUGUCGCGUCUGCUGUGAAAACUCGGGGCUUAACCCCGGGCCUGCAGUGGGUACGGGCAGACUAGAGUGCGGUAGGGGAGACUGGAAUUCCAGGUGUAGGCGGUGAAAUGCGUAGAUAUCUGGAGGAACACCGGUGGCGAAGGCGGCAUCCUGGACCGGUAUUGACGCUGAGGCGCGAAAGCUGAGGGUAGCAAACGGGG